rnacentral:lncRNA from 10 species
UUCAUAUUGUCAAGUACGGACUUUUUCUGAACUAUGUUUUCAAGGGAAUCUUGUUUUCCUCUCAUAUUCUCAGAAAAAUGCCAACAGACAAUUGCCUGCAGAAUGACAAAUGGCUCACAUGGCUUGUUGCUCCGCUUUGUUGCUUGGAUCUGAGUGCCCUGUGAUCUGAGGUUUAUGUCUCUUGGCUGCCUCCAUGUCUCACUGUGGUUUUAUAUCCCCUGGCUUUUUGGCAGAAACAAAACUUUUAGAUUUGUCCUCAACUGAAAAUGUUUCAGCUGUGUGUGCAGGCGUCUUCAUGCUAUAGAAGAAGGAAUGGAACUGUGAAUGGUGGGAAAGGCUGAAGGAAGUAAUGGAGACCACGAUGCAGAAGUAGGUGCUCUUGCAAAGCAGUCCCGGGACAGAUAAAGGAAGCAAAGGCAGAGAACCCCAACGCCUUCCCCAGCUCAGCCACUAGUUGGCUGUGUGAUCUCAGACAAGCCAAGCUCCAUCUCUGAGAUAUAGCUGCUUCAUUUGCAAAGUAAGAAGGUAGACGUGCAUGAUCAGCUGAAGAUGCUUCCUGCCUCAAUCCAGGACACCUGCGGCUCCAGGUCAGAGAUGCACCUGCUAGUCCUGCCUCUACAGGACCCAACCCAUCAGUUCCUAGCUUGUCCUUCUGGUGAGAAUUGAGCACACUAUACUGUGGACAUAAAGACAAGUCAAGGGAACUAGUCAGCCCUGGCUGUUGGAGAACAGUCCUUGGGAUACUCACCAGGGUCUCCACCAUGUUGGAUUUGUUGUUACGCAGUGUUUUCACGAUGUGGAACACGUCAAUGAUGUUUUGCUGCUGGAUCAUCUCACACACACUGCAGAUGGCACAGAAGGUUCCACUACGGCCUCCCCCAUUUCUAAACACAGAGCAAAGAGAAACCAGCAAGAAACUGAGCUCGGCUCCCUGGCUCACAUAGACAUGGAACAGAGAUCACAUCUGUGAGUGGAGGAGCCAGACUUUUCAUAUAAGCACAUGUAAAACUUUUGAAGUUGGCUGAUCCAAGAAUAGAUUCAAAUUCUUCAGCCAAGAGUCUAGACCAACUGACUUUUUCCACUUCAUUGCCUAGUUGACCCUUUGGGCCCGGAGCUCACGCACGCAGUUGAAGAUGUCCACCACCCCUUCAUUCUCGGCCAUGUCAAGCAUGGUGUCAAUGGCAAUGAAGCAGCCAGUCCGCCCAGCCCCAGCACUGGAAGAGAGCAAAUGGGUUGACGGAUGGAAGCAAAGAAGGAGAGGAGAGAGAACAGAGGGGAGAUGAAUGACAGGACAGAAACGAGAGUCCUCUGAGCUGUCCCCAAGACAGAGAGUGGUUGGUGGAGCACCACGUUCAAAGGCCGGCAUCUGGCUCCACCUGCAGCUGUUUUCGCAGGAUCGUGAAGCAAGAGUGUCAUGAAACUGGAGCAGCUGACCGUCCGGAGACCCUUGUCAGGGAUCAAGUUUCUUGAUACAUACUUACUUGAUUUCUGGUCACUAGUGGCUUCUUUAGGAGAAUCUCAGACCAAGUAUAAAAUGGUAGGGGAACUCAACGAGACUCUAUGGGCCUUGGCCAGCCCUUUCUAGAUCAGUGCUGGGCUCUGAAACAUCAGUGCUGACCAAGAGGCACGUAAGACAUGUGCCUUACACAUGUGCAGUUUUGGAUGGGAAGGCCGGGCAGCCUGUCAAGGAGGCCCCCUUCCGCUGCGUUUUCACAUCUUGCCUUUCUCAUGGAAACAAGUGUCUUUGUCUAACAAUGUAGAUGUCAAAAGACACACAAAGAGGAAGAGAGAUGGAACAAGACAAAAAAGCAAUAUUGGCUCAUGGUAAAUCCAAGGGGCACAGGCCAGUGCGGACCACUACCUACAACAAUUUGGAAAGUACACCCAUUGGAAGCAGAGUCUUCAUUCAUGAGAAACUUUCAUGGUUUGAAUGAAGUCUGACUUAAGUUUGCUUCAGAACCUACUCCCCAAAAUCCAGAUGCGGGGACUCAAGAGACUUGGCCUCUGUGUCUGGGAGGGAGUAUAGGGGGGGUCACUCGUGUUUUUUUCUUCAAUGUUCAUAUUCACCAUGCUUUAGUAUAAAGAAUCAGCCCAAUUUGGUUCCAAAUUUUGGAACAACUAUCAAUCAAUCAGCGGUGACCAAGUUGCCUAGUGUCCGUUUGUUUGUUAGCUUCAGAUUUCUGAUGCUUUUAACAUACCUCCCUGCAGGGUCCUUGUGAGGACAAAGCUGUGUUUAUUUCAUUUCAGCAUCACAUAGUAAUUGAACACAGGAUAUUUGAAAAGACCCCCUAGGAUUAAAUCCUGGCUCUAUUACUUAUUAGCUGCAUGACCUCGGGCAAAUGACUUAACCUCUCUGGGUUUCAAUACUCAUCUAUAAAAUGAUGUUGAUAAUAAUUAAAAUACUCACUCAUCUAUAAAAUGAUGUUGAUAAUAAUUAAUAGAUCCACCUCACAGCAUUAAUAGCACAAUAUGUAUAAAUUGGAUGAAAUUACAAUUAAAAUGCAUAAUGCAUACAAAUUGCUUUGUGCCUGGAUACAUAGCCAUUUUUUAUUGAGAAAUUAUUACUAUUAUAUUCAACAAAUAUUUAUUGAAAAUCUAAGAUGCAGUAGAUGCUGGUAUUAGGAGUGGGAAUAUGAAAACAAACAAACAUUGUUCCUGUCCUGAAGGAUUAAUAAAUAAUCUGGGGAGGGGGAGAAAGAAAACAUUAAGAGGAGGCAGAGAAUAAUGAUAUAUUAGAGUGCUUACUAUAUGUCAGGCAUUCUCUCUUAGGCACUUAGCCAACCCAUUUGGUAAUAAUUUUCAGAAUGGCCCCAGGAGUGGGUACCACUCUGCUCAGAUGCAUUAAGAUGACCUGCUAAGGAGACACAUACCGGCGUAGAGCCAUCAUGCGCCGAAGUCCUGAUGAUAAACAAACAUUUGCCAUUGUCUUUCUUUCUUUCUCCCUAACCCUUGAUCUGGGUGCUCUUUGGGAUAUAGAGAUGGGGGGCAUUAAUGAUCCAUUGCCCUUUGAUUGCUAUGAGAUAUAAAGCAAAGCAGAAAAUACAUGCAAAACAUUUAGAGAGUCCAGGAUUACCUCCUCAUCCUCACUUGCCUUAUCUGUGAAAUGGGGUUGUGUAGCUACUAUUGCUGGGAAG